rnacentral:tRNA from 2 species
ACUGCUAUAGCUCAAAUGGAUAGAGCAAGACACUUCUAAUGUUUAGGUUAAGAGUUCGAGUCUCUUUAGCAGUA